rnacentral:rRNA from 1 species
UACGUAGGGGGCGAGCGUUAUCCGAAGUUACUGGGCGUAAAGCGCGCGUAGGCGGGCUAUUAAGUCGGAUGUGAAAUCUCCACGGCUCAACCGGGAAACUGCAUCCGAAACUGGUAGUCUUGAGGUAUGGAGAGGGAAGUGGAAUUCCAGGUGUAGCGGUGAAAUGCGUAGAUAUCUGGAGGAACACCCGUGGCGAAGGCGGCUUCCUGGCCAUAUCCUGACGUUGAGGUGCGAAAGCCAGGGGAGCGAACGGG